UAUAUAAUUUUAUAUAUAUCACUAUCAUUAUAAUUUAAUUAUAUGUAUUCAGAUGGCGCUCUGUGGCAUGGCAGAAGUAUGAACAGUCAUGAGUCGUGGCUGGCCGCUGGACGCCGCAGACAGCCGCUGACUUGCGAAUUCUAAAUGCAUGGCACUGCGCGUCCCCGAGCGGCGCUUCCGAUGCGUGACUUGCUUGUGACUUUGCGUGACUUUGCUCAAGUCAAGUUCUUGUUGCAGAACCGAAAUUAUGCACCGAAGUUCAUAUGCUGAUUUGAUCCGGUGCAUACAGGUUCCAAAAGUACUGAUGCCAUAGUGGCACCGAGUUUCGGUACCCAACCCUAUUUAUAAGUCAAUGUUUCAAGCUGUAGAUUUUGUUACCUAGCUCAAGUGUAAUUAAUUAUUGUUAUGUUAUUACCAUUAACCACGAAAGUAUUAUAAAUGAGAUUGGGAAAAAUACAAUGUCUACUAUUUUCUGGACAAAUGGUCAAAGUGUAAACUUUAAUUUGAUUCUGUCUGACUCAAGUAAGUCAAAUCAGGUGUUUCGAAUAUUCUGAUUUGAUUGCUCGAAAAGAGAUAAGAAAAGCCCUGAUUUAUCUUUUAAAGUAUGUUAAUUCCCUACAAUACCUACUUCAUCUGCAGUAAAGACAACAACACACAUUUAUACAAUUUCAGCGCUCCAUUUAAAAUCCCAUUUUCUUAGUUCAAUUGAAAAUCCCAUAGAUUGGUAACUUUUUUUUAGGAUGUCAGAUGUCUUGUCUUGAAUGCAGACAACUGAAAACAGCCAUAGUCAUUAUCUAACCAUAUCUGUAGUAACUAUACAGCUAACUGGGUGAAUGGGCUAUAUGCACGCAUUACUUCCGCGUUUUGUCUAAGGCCGCGGUCCAGCUUCCGGUCUGGGUGAUUUUAAGCGGAGGUAAACAGUAUUAUGGCAGAGUCGUCAAUAUUUACUCGCUGUUUGCGAGUAAAUUAUGGUCAACGAUGUGCAAAUGAUUGUCCGGAUGUGCUCUACAACACCGCAGAGCAAAGCUUGAGAAGGGUUUCAAGUUGUAUGCAUCUUCCUACCUGUGCAAUUAUGAAGGUAACAUUAUGAGAUUCAGAGCUAGAAAAUUUUAUGUGUUACUUCAUCCUGGAGCGGACAUCCGUCAGAAGAUCCAUGCCAUCGUCUGCAAGUUAAUAGCUCCUGCUCUUGUGUGGCUGAGAGUGGGAUAUGCAAACAUUUGGUUGCUUUGCUUUUCCAGACAGCCCAUUACUCUGAAAUGUGUAAUGUGUGUUGUCACAUGAACAAUUGUUUGGAAUGGAUCAAUUAUGUGUUAAGUUCCAUGAAACAGAUGGGUAAUUUAUUUAUUUAUUUAUUUAAUACGUAUAAGCCCAAAUACCUCUCUAUGCACAAGUUACAGAAGAAGCACCUGAUUCAAGAAAACAACUGAUUCAAUGUCAUUUUUUCUGUUCAUCUGAAUAAAAUAUUUUUUUCAAAAUGUUA